rnacentral:lncRNA from 15 species
AUUUUAUGAAUGUUUGUUUCAGCUUUUUUAUGUCUGUGUCUGUACAGGAUUCCCUGGGCCUCGUGGUGAAUAUGGUAGUCCAGGUGUUCCAGGUGUUCCAGGUGAUCAUGGGGGCCUGGGACCACCAGGCCCACCUGGACCAAAUGGGCCUCCAGGCCCCCCUGGACCACCAGGUCUGCAUGGACUUGAUGGGCUUAGAGGUCCAAAUGGAAUGAAAGGAGCACAUGGUAAGAGGGAAAAAGUUUAUCAUCAUUUCUUUACUUGACUUUUAUGGUGUAUCUGUUAGUAUAGAUUUUUUGUUUAUAUAGUAUCUUGUAUAUAUAUUAAUGCAAUUGUGAACUUUGUAUUGACAAAUUGUCAAAGUAAAUUAAUUAGUGUAAUUUCAGUAUAUUUGUCAGUAUAUGUCACUUGUCAAAUGUAUUGGUUUAUCAUUUCAAGGCAUAGGUAUCCCGGGCUCUCCAGGACCACAUGGAUUUCCUGGAGUCAAAGGUCUCAGGGGCCACCCUGGUCCUCCAGGAGGCACUUUUCCUGGCCGUAAAGGCCAAAGGGGCCCACCUGGCGACAGAGGUAUUACGUCUGUUAUGAUUUCUUACCAUUCAACAUGUUAUCUGUUAUGGUCACUCAGAUCAUAAUGUGCUUUUAUUACCAUUUAGCACUCUGUUGCACCGCUGAGUAUGGAUACUGUUCCAUUCCUCUAUAUAGUAUUAUUCAAGAUAAGGUAUUAAGCUUUUCCGUGUUUCUUUCCUCAGGUCUUCUAGGCUUCCCAGGUGAACCUGGUUACCCUGGCAAAGAAUGCCACAUGCCUUUGCCAGGACCCUGGGGAGAGGAAGGAUAUGAAGGACCUCCAGGACCCCCAGGUCAUCCUGGGGCACCAGGCCCUCCAGGCAGUAGCCUCUUCUACAAAGGAGACCCAGGCCCAAUUGGCCUCCCUGGGUUACCAGGUCAUAAGGGAGAUAAGGGCCUCAGAGGACCUCCUGGAUUUCCGGGCUACCCAGGCUUUCCAGGACCAAAAGGUACAUUACAGUGCAAGACUGCUAACAUUAAUAUUUACAGUGUUGUCAAACACUUGAAUUAACUCAAAAUGUUGCUACAUAGGUGAAAGAGGUCCUUCUGGUCCCAGGGGUCCUCUAGGACCGAGAGGUCAGAAAGGUGCUCCUGGGGCUAGAGGCCGCAAGGGAGUAACUGGCCCAGCCGGACACCCAGGUGAGUGGCACUGUAGCUAAGAGAUAUGCUGAUUAUAAAAAACACAUAUUGUUUUAACUUUACU